UACGUAGGGUGCGAGCGUUAAUCGGAAUUACUGGGCGUAAAGCGUGCGUAGGCGGUCCGCGAAGUCUGAUGUGAAAGCCCCCGGGCUCAACCUGGGAACUGCAUUGGAAACUAACGGGCUCGAGUGUGGCAGAGGGGGGUGGAAUUCCACGUGUAGCAGUGAAAUGCGUAGAGAUGUGGAGGAACAUCAGUUGCGAAGGCGGCUCUCUGGACCAGCACUGACACUGAGGCACGAAAGCGUGGGGAGCAAACAGG
rnacentral:rRNA from 1 species